CCUACGGGAGGCAGCAGUGGGGAAUAUUGCACAAUGGGCGCAAGCCUGAUGCAGCCAUGCCGCGUGUGUGAAGAAGGCCUUCGGGUUGUAAAGCACUUUCAGCGGGGAGGAAGGCGUUAAGGUUAAUAACCUUGGCGAUUGACGUUACCCGCAGAAGAAGCACCGGCUAACUCCGUGCCAGCAGCCGCGGUAAUACGGAGGGUGCAAGCGUUAAUCGGAAUUACUGGGCGUAAAGCGCACGCAGGCGGUCUGUCAAGUCGGAUGUGAAAUCCCCGGGCUCAACCUGGGAACUGCAUUCGAAACUGGCAGGCUAGAGUCUUGUAGAGGGGGGUAGAAUUCCAGGUGUAGCGGUGAAAUGCGUAGAGAUCUGGAGGAAUACCGGUGGCGAAGGCGGCCCCCUGGACAAAGACUGACGCUCAGGUGCGAAAGCGUGAGGAGCAAACAGGAUUAUACCCCGGUAGUC
rnacentral:rRNA from 1 species